rnacentral:rRNA from 1 species
AAUUCCUAGUAAACGCGAGUCAUCAGCUCGCAUUGAUUACGUCCCUGCCCUUUGUACACACCGCCCGCCGCACCUACCGAUUGAAUCAUUCGGUGAGGAUCUCGGAUUUUGUUGCUUACGCUUCACGGCGUUUUCGACGAGAGAAGUCAUCCAAACCUCAUGAUUUAGAGGAAGGUGAAGUCGUAACAAGGUUUCCGUAGGUGAACCUGCGGAAGGAUCAUUA